rnacentral:rRNA from 1 species
UACGAAGGGGGCGAGCGUUGUUCGGAUUUACUGGGCGUAAAGGGCGCGCAGGCGGCUUAUUUUGUCAGGCGUGAAAGCCCCGGGCUUAACCUGGGAACUGCGUUUGAUACGGAUGGGCUAGAGUUCGGGAGAGGAGCGUGGAAUUCCCAGUGUAGAGGUGAAAUUCGUAGAUAUUGGGAAGAACACCGGUGGCGAAGGCGGCGCUCUGGACCGAGACUGACGCUGAGGCGCGAAAGCGUGGGGAGCAAGCAGG